rnacentral:lncRNA from 1 species
AUCACUUUCAUUUGCAUUAUCAAUAUUUUAGCGCAUGUUCUUCCCAUACAUAACAGUAGACUUGGUACAAAAUUUAGUAACCUUUUAAAAUCUUCAAGUAUCAAUCCUUAAAUUCAAUAGUACUGCCUAAUAACCUGAACUUGUAUUCGGAAGUGAUAUACAAAUGGAGGGGGUACUGCCUAAUAAAUUCGAAGUACUAUACAAAUUCAGCCUAUGUGCUAAGAUUUUUUUCUGCACAUCGCUCCCGUUCACUUUCAGUUAGACUCAUGGUUAGGCCCCCAUCAACCGGCAGCACCUGCACAUGCGGAAUUAAACAAGUUGGUAGUCAUUUCCGAUGAAUUAGCAGUAUAGUUUGUAGAAUUAAUCAUCUUCACGACAUAUCCUUCCGGUAAAAUGAAUAAAUUGUCAGUUUAAUAUAGCCAAAUAGAUACCAGUCAUAGAUGUAUAUAUGUUAUGGUUCCCAACUCAAUUAAUUUUAUGAAGGUAGAGUUUCAUCAACUAAAUGAGGGACAUUUGUACCAAAGAGAAUCAAUCAGCUUAAAUAGAUUGUGUAAUAUGUUGCUGGAAGAGGACGACCCAAUAAACCUUAUUUCAUCAGCACCAACAUGUCCUCGUCUUAGCCCUUGUGCUCCUGGCGCGGCAUCAUGGUCGAUGAUGGCUCCAGCCGCCGGAGCCUAACCAGCCGCCACGUGAGUACGUCACGUGACAUCAGCUCAUCAAUCCAUCAUGGUCCGCUACUCUAGGCACAUGCCUCCGCUUCUCGCCAUCCACGCCCCAAGGCUGAUCGCAAUUUCACAAGAGAAUCUAUUGUUUACAUUACCUCUUGUUUCCUAAGCAUGCAGAGUUCUUUGUAUUAAGCAAGAUAGAUCCAUAGCAGACACAGUUCUAACUAAAAAAGGUGUACAUGGUCAUCAAGCCCACAACAUGCAUCCAUUAAGUUUAAUAACUGAUGGGCAACAUUUUAUGAGGAAACAAAAAGGCUUUUCCUAUCAGCAUCUCGGCAAAUGUUCACCCAGUGCUUAAAAAAAAUGUCAAUGGCAGAUCUAUACUGCAUUUUCGGGUGAACAAAAAUCUAAAAUAGAUUAAGAACAUGCAUCUAUGUUACUAUUCAUAGAGAAUAUAUAAAUUUGAAAAAAUAUGGAACCACAAUAAAAAGAACAUGUGCAUAAUGCAUUUCAAUUGUUAUAGAAAAUAUGUCAUCAAAGAAGAUGAAACCAGAGACUAUUUUUAUACAAUAUAACAAGUAGUACAGAAUUAUCAACUAUAAAAUACUUGCAUGUCACAACUCCCAAGUCAAUCAAAUUCAUGUUAGAACUAUAAGCGUGUUUUUCAUACACUAUAUACCUGUCAAUAUAUCAAGCAACUCGUCUCUUUCUUUGUUUUUCAAUAAGCACAAACAUGAACUUUAAACCUCACCUUUUGUGAAGAGAAGGAUCCACAGAGCUCUGCAGCUCUAUACAUUCUUGUUGCGACGUAAUAUUAUGUCAUCAGUUGCAACGGGUUUUCCUUCAAGGUUGCAGACUUGUGCUCAUUGUGAUUUCGUAAGCAGGCAAUCGAAACACUCCAUGAUUAAAUUCCAAAUCCAUAAUUUCAAUAGGAAAAACCGGGAUCAAAAAGCUACAAAAUUUAUCCAUCUCUACCUAUCGCUAGGUGCAGGGAUAUAUAGAUUAAUGCAAUAAAUUUAUACUCUCUAUGUAUUAGUUUGUUUCUUGCAUCAAUUUGAUAAACAAACUGGGUUGCAGCGGUGCUUCAAUAGAAUAAUUAUAUAGGACACAAUGGCACACACGACAACAUUUAAAUCACGGCUCACAAAAUUCAGGGAUAUGCAUACAAAUAAAACAAAAGAAAAAGUAAAGAAUCAAAC